rnacentral:rRNA from 1 species
GUCCAGACUCCUACGGGAGGCAGCAGUGGGGAAUAUUGCACAAUGGGGGAAACCCUGAUGCAGCGACGCCGCGUGAGCGAUGAAGUAUUUCGGUAUGUAAAGCUCGAUCAGCAGGGAAGAAAAUGACGGUACCUGACUAAGAAGCCCCGGCUAACUACGUGCCAGCAGCCGCGGUAAUACGUAGGGGGCAAGCGUUAUCCGGAUUUACUGGGUGUAAAGGGAGCGUAGACGGCUGUGCAAGCCAGAUGUGAAAGCCCGGGGCUCAACCCCGGGACUGCAUUUGGAACUGUGUGGCUGGAGUGUCGGAGAGGCAGGCGGAAUUCCUAGUGUAGUGGUGAAAUGCGUAGAUAUUAGGAGGAACACCAGUGGCGAAGGCGGCCUGCUGGACGAUGACUGACGUUGAGGCUCGAAAGCGUGGGGAGCAAACAGGAUUAGAUACCCGCGUAU